CAGCACCUCAAGUGGUCAGGAUGAUUAUUGGGCCUAAAGCAUCCGUAGCCGGCGCUGUAAGUUUUCGGUUAAAUCUGUACGCUCAACGUACAGGCUGCCGGGAAUACUGCAGCGCUAGGGAGUGGGAGAGGUAGACGGUACUCGGUAGGAAAGGGUAAAAUCCUUUGAUCUAUUGAUGACCACCUGUGGCGAAGGCGGUCUACCAGAACACGUCCGACGGUGAGGGAUGAAAGCUGGGGGAGCAAACCGGAUUAGAGACCCGAGUAGUCC
rnacentral:rRNA from 1 species